rnacentral:rRNA from 1 species
GAUGAACGCUGGCGGCGUGCCUAAUACAUGCAAGUCGAACGACGCGGGGGGGGGGGAGUAACACGUAGAUAACCGCCUAUAAGACUGGGAUAAAUUGGGGAAACCGGUGGUAAACCGGCUACUCAGAGGUGGCUCCUCGAUGGAUUAGCUAGUUGUUAAGGUAACGGCUUACCAAGGCAACGAUGCAUAGCCGACCUGAGAGGGUGAUCGGCCACACUGGAACUGAGACACGGUCCAGACUCCUACGGGAGGCAGCAGUAGGGAAUCUUCCGCAAUGGGCGAAAGCCUGACCGAGCAACGCCGCGUGAGUGAUGAAGGUCUUCGGAUCGUAAAACUCUGUUAUUGGGGAAGCGGUACCUAAUCAGAAAGCCACGGCUAACUACGUGCCAGCCGCCGCGGUAAUAC